AGAGUUUGAUCCUGGCUCAGGAUGAACGCUAGCUACAGGCUUAACACAUGCAAGUCGAGGGGAAACGAUAUUGGAAGCUUGCUUCCGAUAGGCGUCGACCGGCGCACGGGUGAGUAACGCGUAUCCAACCUGCCCACCACUUGGGGAUAACCUUGCGAAAGUAAGACUAAUACCCAAUGAUAUCUCUAGAAGACAUCUGAAAGAGAUUAAAGAUUUAUCGGUGAUGGAUGGGGAUGCGUCUGAUUAGCUUGUUGGCGGGGUAACGGCCCACCAAGGCAACGAUCAGUAGGGGUUCUGAGAGGAAGGUCCCCCACAUUGGAACUGAGACACGGUCCAAACUCCUACGGGAGGCAGCAGUGAGGAAUAUUGGUCAAUGGACGAGAGUCUGAACCAGCCAAGUAGCGUGCAGGAAGACGGCCCUAUGGGUUGUAAACUGCUUUUAUAAGGGAAUAAAGUGAGAGUCGUGACUCUUUUUGCAUGUACCUUAUGAAUAAGGACCGGCUAAUUCCGUGCCAGCAGCCGCGGUAAUACGGAAGGUCCGGGCGUUAUCCGGAUUUAUUGGGUUUAAAGGGAGCGUAGGCCGGAGAUUAAGCGUGUUGUGAAAUGUAGACGCUCAACGUCUGCACUGCAGCGCGAACUGGUUUCCUUGAGUACGCACAAAGUGGGCGGAAUUCGUGGUGUAGCGGUGAAAUGCUUAGAUAUCACGAAGAACUCCGAUUGCGAAGGCAGCUCACUGGAGCGCAACUGACGCUGAAGCUCGAAAGUGCGGGUAUCGAACAGGAUUAGAUACCCUGGUAGUCCGCACGGUAAACGAUGGAUGCCCGCUGUUGGUCUGAAUAGGUCAGCGGCCAAGCGAAAGCAUUAAGCAUCCCACCUGGGGAGUACGCCGGCAACGGUGAAACUCAAAGGAAUUGACGGGGGCCCGCACAAGCGGAGGAACAUGUGGUUUAAUUCGAUGAUACGCGAGGAACCUUACCCGGGCUUGAAUUGCAGAGGAAGGAUUUGGAGACAAUGACGCCCUUCGGGGCCUCUGUGAAGGUGCUGCAUGGUUGUCGUCAGCUCGUGCCGUGAGGUGUCGGCUUAAGUGCCAUAACGAGCGCAACCCCUCUCCUUAGUUGCCAUCAGGUUAAGCUGGGCACUCUGGGUACACUGCCACCGUAAGGUGUGAGGAAGGUGGGGAUGACGUCAAAUCAGCACGGCCCUUACGUCCGGGGCUACACACAUGUUACAAUGGCAGGUACAGAGAGACG
rnacentral:rRNA from 1 species